AGGGGAUCUUCCUAACCCAGGGAUUGAACCCAGGUCUCCUGCAUUGCAGGCAGAUGCUUUAACCUCUGAGCCACCUAAAGAGGCCAGGGGCGGCGGCCGGGAGGAGCAACCCCAUGUCCGAGGAGCAGUGGCUGCACAGGCACAGGAGGGCCUAAAGGAGCUAUCCCACGUUGAAGGUCAGGAAGGGCAGCAGUGAGGAGAUACCACUCAUCCAAGGGGAUCUUCCCAACCCAGAGAUCGAACCAGGGUCUCCCUCAUUGGAGGCAGACACUUUAACCUCUGAGCCACCAGAGCCAUUCUGAUGGGUGGAAGAAGAGUAAAUAGAGAAAGCGUACAUUAGAUGGAAGAAACAAUACCAUAAAACUGGAAGGAAUAAAGCGGAGUGAACUGAGAGACCGGAGCCCUCACAAGUCAGCUAUGAUGACAGUUUUAUAUAUGUGUACUCUGGCCUUUCUACACUGGAGAAUCCCAGGGAUUCUCCAGGCAAGAACACUGGAGUCGGUUGCCAUUUCCUGCUCUAAUGCAUGAAAGUGAAAAGUGAAAGUGAAGUCACUCUGUCGUGUCCUACUCUUCGCGACCACAUGGACUGCAGUCUACCAGGCCCCUCCAUCCAUGGGAUUUUCUGGGCAAGAGUACUGGAAUAGGGUGCCAUCGCCUUCUCCAUUAUUUAAAUAUUAGCCUCGCAGAAGGCUUGGCAUGUGUGCCUGUUAAGUCACUUCAGUCUUGUCCAACCCUGUGUAACCCUAUGGACUGCAGCCUGCCAGCCUCCUCUGUCUAUGAGGUUCUCCAGGCAAUAAUACCAUAGUAAGUUGAUAUGCUAUCCUACAGAGCAUCUUCCCAACCCAGGGAUCGAACCCAGGUCUUAUACGUAUACCUGCAUUGGGGUAGUUGCUAAAAUAGUGCUAGCCUGGGUUGACUGUGGUAAGUUGUCCCCCAUACAUAACUUGGGCACAUUAAAAAA
ensembl:lncRNA